GACACAAUUGUUUAUUAUCUAGUUUGAAAUAAAUGAACAUUCUUGAAGACCAUUAAGUUGUCAUCAUCUUUGGAAAGCUUUGCAAGCUAGAAUUAACCAACAAAAGUAGCAACCACUUUCAAAACUCGACUAACAUUCUAAACAAUUAGGAAAAUAUUACUGAACCAUUAUACAUUAAAGAUAUAAUAUUC
rnacentral:misc_RNA from 1 species